rnacentral:sRNA from 1 species
ACAUGUAAGUGAGAUUUUCUCUGGUGGAGGGUGUCAAUGCCUGAAGGGUUGAAGAUCAGGAGCAAUGACUGGAUUACAGAAUGAAGAGGACUUACUGAAUAAUUCGCUUCCAAAAGAAAAGGGAGAAGAAGAAAUCCAAGAAGACAUCAGCACUUUCACCUUUUAUGUCUUCUAGGUUUGACAGGGGUCUGCUAUUCCACCCUCAAUUCAGCAUCUGCAAACAUAGAGAAUUCUGGGCUUCCACACAACUCCAGUGCUAACUCAACAGAGACUCUCCAACAUGUGCCUUCUGACCAUACAAAUGAAACUUCCAACAGUACUGUGAAACCACCAACUUCAAUUGCCUCAGACUCCAGCAAUACAACGGUCACCACCAUGAAACCUACAGCAGCAUCUAAUACAACAACACCAGGGAUGGUCUCAACAAAUAUGACUUCUACCACCUUAAAGUCUACACCCAAAACAACAAGUGUUUCACAGAACACAUCUCAGAUAUCAACAUCCACGAUGACAGUAACCCACAAUAGUUCAGUGACAUCUGCUUCUUCAU